UUUCCACUUAUAUUAUCUUGGCCAUGAUUACCACUGAAGUGGUUAUCAUUUCUGGCGUGUUGAUUCCCUCCACGUCUGUUGUCACCGCUUUGAUGAUUGCUACCACUAGUAUUAUCGAUUUGCCGACUGCUAUCUCUUGGUUGUGUUGACUCAUUAUCACUUUCCAAUACCUGAGCCCUAUUUAUAACAUUUGAAUAUAAACAUAGUUUAUGAAAAGUUAGGUAUUGACGUAUCUCAGGCUUCAAACCUCUUAGAAACAUCCGCGUCAUUCUCUCCUCAUUAUCAACUAAGUGGGGCGCAAACUGGGACAACUCGGAAAAUUUAGCUUCAUACCGUCACACGAUCAUAUUGUUUUGCUCCAGCUUGAUAAACUCUACCUCCUUCAUGUGACGAAUACUUUCGGGAAAGUACUUGUCGCUGAACAGUUCUUGGAACUUCUCCCAAGAUAUCUUCAGUGCGACAGGUUGGGUACGUUUUAUGGAUUCCCACCAGUAAUCUGCCUCUCCUCGCAACAUGAAGGUGGCAAAGGGAACC
rnacentral:lncRNA from 1 species